rnacentral:lncRNA from 1 species
UUGCCGAUGACUGGUCGCCGGCGUGGGCAGAUUUGGGCUACUUGUACUCGCUUGCUGUAUUCGGUGUGCGCAGCAGUCCCUUUGGUUUUGUGUGCCUCCUAUAUUGUGGCACCCGAUGCAACUAAAGGGAGAAGUAAAGAAGCCUUAAUUGGCAAAGGAUGGCGCCUUUCAUUGCCUGCUGCUGUUCAAAUGAUGUCUGAAGACUCUUGACGAUUGCACAUCGUGCGCUGGUGCAACAACAAUGCAAAGACGAAGUUUUCUGUGUCUUUUAAAACAACAGGUGAACGUACAGUUUACGUCCUGGUUUUCAUUUGUGCUAACUAGUGUAGUCAUGAAAAUGUCGCCCAUGUCAUCCACUUCUGUGCAUUUUCUGAGCCUGUAUCAUUAGCACAUCAAUAAAACGAAGCCAGUGAUCUGUUGUGUUGUAAUAUGACUUUUCCUUUUUGUCUUUUUGGUCCUGGCGCUUGAUGGCAUGAUCGCAAGUAUCACACAUGCACUCAAGAAAAAAAAAAUAAGCUAUAGGUCGUGGCAGGGAGGGGGGCGGAGGCACCACACAGCAUAACACAGGUUACAGAUUUAAGUGAACUGGUGAGCCGUUCAAAUGAACCGGUUCAUUUCAGUGAGCUGAGCCAUUCGGAGCUGCUUACUGAAGUGGGCCGUUUUGCCCGUCUCUAGCGAGCGUGCUUUUUCCAGGCUUGCAUACUUGGAAAGCAAAUACAAAAACAGGUUAAAUGUGGCUGCAGAUAUGUAACUCUGGUUAAGCGUGACUGCGCCAUGCAUUGACAAGCUGUCCAGAUUGAAUUGAUGUGGCACUUUUCUUUGCCCGUUCUUUGCCACGCAGCAAUAAAAGACACCUGUUUCAGCUCAUGUUCUGUUAAUUUAUACCUCCCACUACAAGGGGUCCCCCAUCACUUCCACUGGCACACAAGGGGUCCUCGACACAUCCAUGGCCGAGAACCACUGCCGUAGUGCUUGUGCCUGGGUCCUCUAUGAAGUGCAGCACUCCCUUUAGGGCUUCUGAAAAGCUGAAAAAAAUCUAACAAUUUCUUGGCACCAACAUUUGAAGUGGCCCUCACUAGGAGCACCAGUUCAUCAGCCAGCAUCUAGUGUAGCAAUGAGGAAACAACUAUGUGUUGAGUGCUAGGGUUUGCCUGUCUGCACAUGUGCAUCUACAAGGCUGCUGCAUGACAUGACUGCAGGCAUUCCACUGUAGUUUCUGCCAAGUUUGAUUGCUCAAAGCUGCGCUGCCUGUUAUAGCUCGUCUCAUCAAUAAACUAACCAGUUAGAUGUAA